UCGCGAAACCUUCACACUGGGGGAAACCCUGAUGAGGGAAUUCCUAGUGCCUGCAUUUUUUGUAGGCUUUUAUCUAGUGUAGAUAGCUAGAAGAAUAAGGGCCGGGUAAGACGGGUGCCAGCCGCCGCGGUAAUACCCGCGGCCCAAGUGGUGGUCGAUAUUAUUGAGUCUAAAACGUCCGUAGCCGGUUCAGUAAAUCUUUGGGUAAAUCGGCCAGCUUAACUGACCGAAUUCCGAAGAGACUGCUGAACUUGGGACCGGGAGAGGCCAGAGGUACUUCUGGGGUAGGGGUAAAAUCCUGUAAUCCUAGAAGGACCACCGGUGGCGAAGGCGUCUGGCUAGAACGGAUCCGACGGUGAGGGACGAAGCCCUGGGGCGCAAACGGGAUUAGAUACCCCGGUAGUCCAGGGUGUAAACGCUGCAGGCUUGGUGUUGGAGGUCCUUCGGGGGCGCCCAGUGCCGGAGAGAAGUUGUUAAGCCUGCUACUUGGGGAGUACGUCCGCAAGGAUGAAACU
rnacentral:rRNA from 1 species